GCUAAUACCGCAUAAGCACACACUGUCGCAUGGCUGAGUGUGAAAAGAUUUAUCGGCAAAGGAGGAGUCCGCGUUCUAUCAGAUAGUUGGUGGGGUAACGGCCCACCAAGUCAGCGAUAGAUAGCCGAACUGAGAGGUUGAACGGACAAACCGGGGACUGAGACACGGCCCGUGACUCCUACAGGAGGCAAACAGUGAGGGAUAUCGCACAAUGGGCGGAAGCCUGAUGCAGCAACGCCGCGUGAAGGAACAAAGGUUCUCGGAUUGUAAACUUCUAUCGAAUGGGAACGAAUAAUGACGGUACACAACAGUAAGAAGCCCCGGCAUAAUUACGUUCCAGCAUCCGCGGUAAUACGUAGGGGUCCAAGCGUUAUCCGGAAUUACUGGGUUUAAAGGGUGAGUAACCGUUUUGCCAAGUCACAUGUGUAAUCCCGCGGCUCAACCGCGGGACUGCAUGAGAAACUGCUGAACUAGAGUACAGGAGAGGUUAGCGGAAUUCCUUGUGUAGCGGUGAAAUGCGUAGAUAU
rnacentral:rRNA from 1 species